UACGUAGGGGGCGAGCGUUGUCCGGAUUUAUUGGGCGUAAAGAGCGUGUAGGCGGCCAGGUAGGUCUGCUGUGAAAACUCGAGGCUCAACCUCGAGACGCCGAUGGAAACCAUCAGACUAGAGUCCGGAAGAGGAGAGUGGAAUUCCUGGUGUAGCGGUGAAAUGCGCAGAUAUCAGGAAGAACACCCGUGGCUAAGGCGGCUCUCUAGUACGGUACUGACGCUGAGACGCGAAAGCGUGGGGAGCGAACAGG
rnacentral:rRNA from 1 species